rnacentral:rRNA from 1 species
ACGAACGCUGGCGGCGUGCCUAAUACAUGCAAGUCGAACGCUUCUUUUUCCACCGGAGCUUGCUCCACCGGAAAAAGAGGAGUGGCGAACGGGUGAGUAACACGUGGGUAACCUGCCCAUCAGAAGGGGAUAACACUUGGAAACAGGUGCUAAUACCGUAUAACAAUCGAAACCGCAUGGUUUUGAUUUGAAAGGCGCUUUCGGGUGUCGCUGAUGGAUGGACCCGCGGUGCAUUAGCUAGUUGGUGAGGUAACGGCUCACCAAGGCGACGAUGCAUAGCCGACCUGAGAGGGUGAUCGGCCACAUUGGGACUGAGACACGGCCCAAACUCCUACGGGAGGCAGCAGUAGGGAAUCUUCGGCAAUGGACGAAAGUCUGACCGAGCAACGCCGCGUGAGUGAAGAAGGUUUUCGGAUCGUAAAACUCUGUUGUUAGAGAAGAACAAGGAUGAGAGUAACUGUUCAUCCCUUGACGGUAUCUAACCAGAAAGCCACGGCUAACUACGUGCCAGCAGCCGCGGUAAUACGUAGGUGGCAAGCGUUGUCCGGAUUUAUUGGGCGUAAAGCGAGCGCAGGCGGUUUCUUAAGUCUGAUGUGAAAGCCCCCGGCUCAACCGGGGAGGGUCAUUGGAAACUGGGAGACUUGAGGGCAGAAGAGGAGAGUGGAAUUCCAUGUGUAGCGGUGAAAUGCGGAGAUAUAUGGAGGAACACCAGUGGCGAAGGCGGCUCUCUGGUCUGUAACUGACGCUGAGGCUCGACAGCGUGGGGAGCUAACAGGAUUAGAUACCCUGGUAGUCCACGCCGUAAACGAUGAGUGCUAAGUGUUGGAGGGUUUCCGCCCUUCAGUGCUGCAGCUAACGCAUUAAGCACUCCGCCUGGGGAGUACGACCGCAAGGUUGAAACUCAAAGGAAUUGACGGGGGCCCGCACAAGCGGUGGAGCAUGUGGUUUAAUUCGAAGCAACGCGAAGAACCUUACCAGGUCUUGACAUCCACUUAAACUUACAGAGAUGUAAGGUGUGCUUGCACAAAGUGAGACAGGUGGUGCAUGGUUGUCGUCAGCUCGUGUCGUGAGAUGUUGGGUUAAGUCCCGCAACGAGCGCAACCCUUAUUGUUAGUUGCCAUCAUUUAGUUGGGCACUCUAGCAAGACUGCCGGUGACAAACCGGAGGAAGGUGGGGAUGACGUCAAAUCAUCAUGCCCCUUAUGACCUGGGCUACACACGUGCUACAAUGGGAAGUACAACGAGUCGCAAAGUCGCGAGGCUAAGCUAAUCUCUUAAAGCUUCUCUCAGUUCGGAUUGUAGGCUGCAACUCGCCUACAUGAAGCCGGAAUCGCUAGUAAUCGCGGAUCAGCACGCCGCGGUGAAUACGUUCCCGGGCCUUGUACACACCGCCCGUCACACCACGAGAGUUUGUAACACCCGAAGUCGGUGAGGUAACCUUUUGGAGCCAGCCGCCUAAGGUGGGAUAGAUGAUUGGGGUG